UACGUAGGGGGGCAAGCGUUGUCCGGAAUCAUUGGGCGUAAAGAGCGUGUAGGCGGCCUGGUAAGUCCGCUGUGAAAGUCCAGGGCUCAACCCUGGAAUGCCGGUGGAAACUGUCGGGCUCGAGUCCGGAAGAGGCGAGUGGAAUCCUGGUGUAGCGGUGAAAUGCGCAGAUAUCAGGAGGAACACCAAUGGCGAAGGCAGCUCGCUGGGACGGUACUGACGCUGGAGACGCGAAAGCGUGGGGAGCAAACAGGAUUAAGAAACCC
rnacentral:rRNA from 1 species